GGACUACUGCGGUAUUAAAUUACCAUGGUUUUGAAAAAAACAAUGUUGUAUCCGUUUGGUUCUGGCAAGUAUCUCACGCGUCUAUUGUUCUGCCAACACAUAAAUGACUGAACAUUUUGCCAGUACUACUCUUCUAUCCUAUGAUAGUGUGGGGCUGGAAUAGACACCGACGAAGGGUUUUAAGGUGGCUCCUUCAAAUCAUUACUUCAGGAUCCAGAGUGCAAUAAUUCAACUUGUUGCAACAUAUGAUGAGGCUAACCUUAUUUUUGAAGUUUGUCAGUCGGAUAUGAGUGGUGUGUAAUGUAGUGGCACGCGGAGCAGGUUUCGUGUUUUUUCUAACCCGUUGCAUCGCACGGGCAUAUGUACUAGAUUUGAUAAUUACAUAAAACAUGAAUGCAAUGGGCAAGAAAAAUAUAUAAGAAUCGAGAAUUAUAU
rnacentral:lncRNA from 1 species